GCAGCGCGUACCGGGCGGGCAACAAGGCAGGCAGCGCGGGCAGGGCGGGCAAGGCAGGCAGCGCAAGGCAGCUCGCGCCGCCCGGGGAGGGCUCUGAUUCAUCACCCCGUUCAGAGGAGAGGAUGGGACGCCGCUGAACUCCCCUUUCUCCCUCCUCCCUUCCCCCCUCGCCAAGCGAGCCCCCCCUCUCCUCCCCCCUCCGCUGCUCUUUCUCUCUCCCCAAGCAGUGAGGCUCGGACAGUGCUCGGCUCCGGCGCUUUCUUUUAAGAUGAUCGGCCAAGGUCUUUGCAGAUAGAUUUUAUCUGAAGUUAAAUAGCAGGCGCUCGCCGCUCGCUCGCCAAUAAGUCAUUUUUAAUAGAGACAAAUCGCCCUGGACGCCCCGGAGCGCCUGUGCCGCCGCUCCUGCCCGCGCCCCCCGCCGAAGGCGAGCGGGCAGCCCGGGCAGCUCCCUCCUCCCGCUGGUGAGAGCUCUGCUUGUUCUGUAAAGUGGAUGUCAGGUGGAUCUAUGUUCUGGAAGGAACAAAGAGGCAGCGAAGGCAGCGCGGGGGAAGUUUGAGCGGCGAGGAUGCAGGCUGUGUACUGGUACGCGGUCCUUCUGCUGCAGCCCACCCUCUACCUGGUUACCUGUGCAAAUUUAACAAAUGGAGGAAAAACAGAACUUCUAAAAUCAGGAAGCUCUAAAUCCACACUAAAGCACAUAUGGACAGAAAGUAGCAAAGACUUGUCCAUCAGCCGACUGCUGUCACAGACUUUUCGUGGAAAGGAAAAUGAUACAGAUUUGGACCUGCGAUACGAUGCCCCAGAAACUUAUUCUGAGCAAGAUCUCUGGGACUGGCUGAGGAACUCCACAGACCUGCAAGAGCCUCGGCCCAGAGCAAAGAGACGGCCCAUUGUCAAAACUGGGAAAUUUAAGAAAAUGUUUGGUUGGGGCGAUUUUCAUUCCAACAUCAAGACUGUGAAGCUAAAUCUGUUAAUAACAGGGAAAAUCGUUGACCAUGGCAAUGGGACGUUUAGUGUUUACUUCAGGCAUAACUCCACUGGUCAAGGGAAUGUAUCUGUGAGCCUAGUGCCCCCUACAAAAAUAGUGGAAUUUGACUUGGCACAACAGACGGUGAUUGAUGCCAAAGAUUCCAAGUCCUUUAACUGUCGAAUCGAGUAUGAAAAGGUUGACAAGGCUACCAAGAACACACUCUGCAACUAUGACCCUUCAAAAACCUGUUAUCAGGAGCAGACCCAGAGCCACGUGUCAUGGCUCUGCUCCAAGCCCUUUAAAGUAAUCUGUAUUUACAUUUCCUUUUAUAGUACAGAUUAUAAACUAGUACAGAAGGUGUGUCCUGAUUACAACUACCACAGUGACACACCCUACUUCCCAUCAGGGUGAGGACCAACAUGUGUCUGAGACUGAAGCCUGGGGAAUAAAAGAGGUCAUAUGACAGGGCUGUAACCUCAAGGAGGAAGGCCACAUCUAUUGCCUGGAAUGUGUCUACCUGCUGCUGCUGAUGUCAAAUGGCUGCAAAUAUGUUAGUGGAAAACAAUCUAAUGUAAUUUUUGCCCCGUCAGCUCCAUGUAUCAAUCUAGUUGUAAAUCACUAUGGAUUUGAAAUAAAACCAUACACGUACACAAAGACACACACUCUUUUCAGCUCACAUCUAUUGAGAUUCCUGUUAAGAGAGCUUUCAUUGUCUGAUAUCUAAGGUUUCAGGAUAACCUAUCAUCAAGCAAAAUGGAUUAACUAGACAGAGAAUGGUUUCUAACACAGACUGUUAUGGAAAUCUCUUUGAAAGUCCUUUGAGUACACGCCAAUCAAUAAUCCCCACUCAUGCAUUCUACUGCUUGGAGUAGCUGUGCUGGUAAAUAAUACUGUAGGAGUAAAUACUUGUUAAAAUGGGAAAAAUGUGUGUCUAGAUUUCAGUAUUCCUUAUUAUAUGAACACAGCAAAGCAUCGUGACUUUUUUCCAGCAUACAGUAGGCACAUUCGAGGUGGUGUUAGGUGGCUCUUUUUCCAUGGAGCGAGCCUGUUACUAGUAAAGAUGGGCAAACAUUUGGAAUUUACAUGUGGGCAGACAUUCUGGUUUCAUGUUUCUCUGACUCUUUAAGCUCUGAUUCUUUAAACCUGGUUGAGUUUAGGCCAGCUAAGCUACUUAAAAACUCUCCAACUGAUCUCUAAGAAGGAAAAUGCCUGGCGGAGAACAUCAGAGGGCAUGUGAGAGCAGGGGGAAUGAGAGAGGCUGGGUGGGUAUCUGGCAUCUGGCCAAGGUCUAACCACCAUAGCUGGAAAUGACAGGUGCUCACCAGAAACUAAAUCCUUGGGGUUUCAAAAGGAUGGGUGCUGGUUUUGAAGUGUCUUUCAAGGUGUUAACAUCUCCUUUUUGAACGUGGAAUCUGCCAAAGUUCCUUAAUAAGCAACAGCUGAAAUCCAGAAACUAAAGAUGUCAGAGAAAACUCAUCCUAAAUUUCCAUGAAACCCACAUUUCACCCAGGUGGUAUCCGUGCCCGAGUCCUGUGGUUCUGGAGUACAUUGAUAGAAUCUAGAAUGUUUUAGAGCUGAAACAAACCCAUUCUUUUUAAAAUUUCAGAUUAAGAACAUCAUACCACAUCUUCUGAAGAUCAAAUGCAAUAUCAUGUCCUUAACUGAUGUAGAUCUUCAUAUCUUCAAGAUAUAUCAGUAGUACUAUUCGGCUUCCCACCGGCUGAGAAUCCAGCUGCUGUUUCCUCAUGAUCACAUAAGAUUUUCUUAUCUGACCAAAACACUUGUCUAAUUCCUAUUCAAAACCAAAUGUGCAGUACAUUAAAGAUGAACUAAGACUGGAUUGUACUUCAGGCACCUGGAGUUGCCUUUUUUUGCUACUAAAAAUUCUCUUUACUCAUGGACAUUACAAACUGUGGAUCUGUCAUGAUUUUUACCUUGCUGCCACAAAGUUUUCAUUGUAAAAGGUGAUAUUGCAGCAGCACAGAUGUCACAGAGUAUGCUAAUCAGUAAAGAGCCAUUUUGUGAUUUCUUUUCCAUAAGUGUGUUUUAUAGGGCAAGACUUAAGAAUUAUGUAAUUUAAGAUGCUGGCAGCUAUUGGUUCUGGAAUUGAUUUGAUGUUUAAAUAACAAUUUUGUUUCCUCAAAAUUUUGAUGUACUCGCUCACAGUGUACUGCAACUUAAGCAAACAGAUCUCAGUCCUCCUUACAUUAAUGUUUUGUUACUGCUUUCCAUGGGAACAGGGUUACACUUUUGAUUCAGUCAUUCUUUUUCAAAGGAAAUCUAACUCCUGUGUUCGACAGAGACACAUAGAGUCCUGGAAUUUUAGUAGCCAGGGGAAUGAAGAUCAGUUGUAUUCUCACUUGACAAUUUUGAGUCUCAAGUUCUAGAUCUUGUACAACAGAACAGAAGCAGAAGUGUUUGGGAGUGGAGACUUUGACUUCAUGCUGUACAUGCCAACUAUAUCCCAACUUUAUGUUUACAUCUGUAUUACUUUGAAAAAGUAUUAGUUUCUGUUCCUCCAAGGCCCAUUUGUAGGUGUGCGCUAUAGGGUAUACCUUAUAUUAGCAAUUAUUUCCUUGGCUAAUCCUCAAAAAGGGUAGAAAAUUACUUAAAAAUUAGUGACCUUAAAUUUGCCCCUCCAAUUGCAUUCUCUAUGACAUUUUAGUCUAGUACUAUAUUUAUAUCCUCUUUUUGAUUUUAAGUUUUUUUGCUAUACAGUAUUUUAAGUUUAAUCAAAAGUCAACUUAGAAAGGCCAUUCUGCCUAAGGGAUAUUUUUCCAUUAAGUAUUUGACAUAUUGGUGGCCUUGAGGGAUUAUUGGUUUUUGAAGAAAUAUUAACAGCUGGAAAUUUGCAUUUUAAUACAGUUCUCCUCAACUACUCAAGCAAUUUUAUUUUUAAGACCUGUGACAGGCUUCAAAGCCCUAGUUCUAAAGCAAUCUUGCCAAGUAGUAGCUAACAUAAUUUUACUACAAGUGAUUAAGUUUCCUAAUAGGUUUUCCUUUUCAAAAUCCUGUUUGAGGUGUCUGUGAAAUCAAUACCAAAACUUUGUGAUUUGUACUAGAACUAGCAUUGCUAAUUUGGCUGAACUAGAGGGAACUGGAAAAAGAACUCCCCUCAAAAUGCUCAAACCCAAAGAAAAAGAAAGUGAAAACUAAACCAAAACAUCACAGUCAUACCAUAAUUAUGUUCUCUAAAUCUAAGGAGGAUGAGAACAUCUGUAAAUUGGUAUCCUUGAUGAGUUUGUUAAAAUUAUGACUAUACAAAUAGGUUAUCAUAAACAUUUGUGUUGUUUACUGAUAUCUGUGGCUUUUAGGCAAAUCAGAUGCAGGAAUAGGCAUUUAGAGUAAAAUUGGAACACACCGCACACUAUGGAACUGCUGAUACCAUCACUAUGAACAUGGUGUCUGCCCCAGCUGCCAUUCAAAUGAAAAUGCCCAUUGACUUCAUGCACUUUGUUGUCAACCCAGCAAAGGACUUACGAGUCAGUGACAGUUUUGAAAAUGGGUUGGACUGAGUCAGUCUUUCCUGACAUGUUAGUAUUGCUGGUUGAAAUUAAACUGACCCAGUUUGAUCAAGUAAUCAUACAUUAGAGUAUGAUAGAUUUGUUUUGAGAAUGAAAUUGGCAAAAUUUGGAUGAUAUAGGAGUUUAACUAAAUCUUUAAAUUUUAGAAUAUAGUUAAACCACAACUGGCUGCAGUUGUAGAAUGGAGAAAAAAGACACUAGCUUGGAAAACACAUUGCCAAAGUUUUCAGUAAUUAUGAAGUCUAGUGUACCUAUUAUCUUCAAUGAACUCAUUUCAGAGGAAAAUAUGAUGUAAUUUCUCUUUCAGAAAAAAAAUGCAUAUAAACCUGAUCAAAAGUCCACCCUAACUGUUGGGAGCUUUUCCAUUGACCUUAGUAGAUCUCAGAUCAGGUCUGAAAUUUAUUAUUAGAAUCCAAAGUAUUUUAAACAGAGGAAGUAAGCUUUCUGCUUACUUUACUGGUUUCCAUAGUAAGAAAGGUUUUUAUUUAUAACAGUGUGGAUAACAUAGUCAUGGUCUCAUUGCAACUGAAAGUCUAUCAACUGAUUGUUCCGUUACAUUCAGUAGUUCACAUAAGAACAUGGAAGAGAUUCGCUGAAUAUCACCAUGAAAAUUCUACUGGAUAUUUUGGAAAAAAACCCCCAAAACAGACUACAUUUCCAAACCAGAGAUUCAUGAGUCAGUUACCUUUUGAGUUUAGUU